UUGAAAGAAGCACAUGUUUGCAUGUUGCAUCCUGAAUUCUGGAGGCUGCAGGCAGAGGAAAGCACACCCUGCAAAUACUUUCCCUCACUGAGGAUGUCAUAUCAGCUCUCCCCAACGUCUCUGGUCAUUUGGGCAGAAGUACAGAAAGAACACCAGGGAUGAUGAAACAGGGAAGAGGCUGGUGGACACCUUCUCCUGACACAGGGAGUGACCAAACCAGAGAAACGCAGAAAGCUGGCAGACACACCACAGGGGGCAAGUGCAUCACUCACAACCCAAGGCCAGAGAAAAGUUUCACCUGACUCUGCUCCAAACCAGGCUCCAAGAUACGGGGUUCCACAGCCCUCCCGUCCCACCAGCUCGGCUCAGAACCCCUCCAGACCACAGACCCGCGGUCUUGGGUCCUCAGACUGCCCAGAUGAUGUGCCUUCAAACAGCGAUCCAGGUGGGGCAGCAGGACACACUGAGGAUUCCAAUAACUCCCCCUCCCAGAAAGUGAGGGUACUGCUGGAUGAACUGUCUGAAAACAGCCAGGUCAGGGUUCCAGGAAGACACCAGAGGCACAGGAGUAACUGAGGAGCAUCUGAAGGUCAGGCUCAUCUCUUAACUCAAGUCAAAGACCCAGCGGGCACCAAAACAACCCUUCAAGCAAUAACCACUGCCUGACAACCAGCAAGACCCCACGUGAUGGACCCCAAAACAAUGAUUGACUGAAAUGUUACUGACCUCCUGCACCUACCCACCAAAGUUUGUCCUAGAUUUUCCUCCUAUAAAAGCUCAGGAGUGUUUUCAACACCUUGAGACCAUGCCAGUCCUUGGCCUUCUGGUGUCAGCUGCACUGAAAUAUAUUCCUUUCCUGUGUCACCACCAUUCGUCUCUCUGCCUUUGGAUCUGGGACACCGUGAAGAGUGCAGUGCAGCAAGUCAAAUGACAGUUGUUCCCGUCCCCAGGCUUCACUGCUGCUGCUCUUCCUGCAGUUCUGCUGUUGGCUUAGUGACAUUUCUGAACUGAUUUUGCCAAAUCUGUAUUCCUUGUUGUGUGUGGCCAAAAUAGUGUCUGGUCUGUGAAUGCAGCUGUCA